rnacentral:sRNA from 1 species
GCAGAUCUGCGGAAGGGCAGAAUGGGACUCCAAGCCUGCCUCCUAGGGCUCUUUGCCCUCAUCCUCUCUGGCAAAUGCAGCUACAGCCCGGAGCCCGACCAGCGGAGGACGUGAGUUGACUUAGCACAGACUGCCCCCUUCCCCAUACCCUGUUCUGCCUCCCACUGUCCUGGUCCUAGCUUCUCUCACCUCCGUGCCAGCUCCUAGUACGCACUCCAUAGCUUCAUCUCUAUGUUCCUAGCCUCAGUCCCCUAUCAUUCACCUCAUGUGAUCUGUAUCUGCUCCUAGGAUCCUACCCAAGGUCUCAGCUCCUAAUCUGGAACCUUCCGUGACCAAUAUUUUCCAUCUCCACCCUAACCAAAGCCAUGUCCCUGACCCCUGACCCUACAGGCUGCCCCCAGGCUGGGUGUCCCUGGGCCGUGCGGACCCUGAGGAAGAGCUGAGUCUCACCUUUGCCCUGAGACAGCAGAAUGUGGAAAGACUCUCGGAGCUGGUGCAGGCUGUGUCGGAUCCCAGCUCUCCUCAAUACGGAAAAUACCUGACCCUAGAGAAUGUGGCU